rnacentral:rRNA from 1 species
AUUGAACGCUGGCGGCAGGCCUAACACAUGCAAGUCGAACGAGUGGCGGACGGGUGAGUAAUGUCUGGGAAACUGCCUGAUGGAGGGGGAUAACUACUGGAAACGGUAGCUAAUACCGCAUACCAUCAGAUGUGCCCAGAUGGGAUUAGCUAGUUGGUGGGGUAACGGCUCACCAAGGCGACGAUCCCUAGCUGGUCUGAGAGGAUGACCAGCAACACUGGAACUGGGACACGGUCCGAACUCCAACGGGGGGCAGCAGUGGGGAAUAUUGCAAAAGGGGCGCAAGCCUGAUGCAGAAAGGCGGCGGGGAUGAAGAAGGCCUUCGGGUUGUAAAGUACUUUCAGCGGGAAGGCGUUACCCGCAGAGGAAGCACCGGCUAACUCCGUGCCAGCAGCCGCGGUAAUAC